AGUGCAUAGUGGGGAGUUCCCAUCGUGAUGCAGCGGAAACGGAUCCAACUAAGAACCAUGAGGUUGCGGGUACGAUCCCUGGCCUCGCUCAGUGGGUUAAGGAUCUGGCCUUGCCAUGAGCUGUGGUGUAGGUCGUGGACGCGGCUCGGAUCUGGCAUUGCUGUGGCCAUGGCGUAGGCCGGCAGCUACAGCUCCGAGUAGAUCCCUAGCCUGGGAACCUCCAUAUGCCCUGGGUGCAGCCUUAAAAAAAAAAAAAAGACAAAAGACAAAAAAUAAAUAAAUAAAUAAAUAAGUGCAUAGAGGGCCUCUAUGGAAACAGAGUCUUGUGUGCAGGAAGUUGAGAUUGGGCUCCGUCUCUUGUCAUUGGUCCAGUUGCACAUAUUGAGAAAGGGCAUAAAAGAAGAGAAACAUGUUCAUUGACAGUCUGUUUUUCUAAGGAGAACUCAUUGCUUGGCAGCUAGUGGCCCUCACCUGAGCUGUGGGGACUUCAUACGAAGUCCAGUUGACAGAGUGAGAAUUUAGAUAGCUUCUUCCAAGUGUCUGCAUCAGAGUCUCCUCAUCUCCUAAUCUUCUGGGUUCAAACUGUAGGCAUCUACACCCCUCAAUCCCUUAUGGCAGGUGGGGACUGGGGGCUCUUUGAGAAUUUGGGGGUUGCUGGGAGGCGUCUUUAGAAUGGGUUUCACUCUCUGAUACUCAGAUCAUCUCCUGGAGAAAACGUGCUGCCAUUUUGCCUCCACAUUCAUUUAAUGUGAUGAAGAGUUGCCGUAGCAACAUGAUUUCUGCAUCAGGCUGACAUAAAUUCAUGCUUGCCUGGUUUGAAAAGAGAAAUUGAGCAUUCAGUCUCUACCAGAGAAUUUAUACGUAGGAACAGAUCCCGACGAUAUUAUCGUUAUUAUUUUAAUUUUUAGUUUGUGUUCAAACAUAUACAAAAGUAGAGGCAAGUCUAAUGAAGCUUCAUGUGUCAAUUGCCAACUUUAAUAACCGUCAACACAUGGCCAAUCUUGUUUCAUUUCGAUCCUCCCUCUUUCUCCAACCCUCACCCACUGUCUUAUUUUUAAACAAAGCCCAAUUAUCCAUAUCAUUUCAUCCAUAAAUACCUCAGUGUGAAUCUCUAAAAGGUAAGGACUUUAUUUUUAACCAAUGAUUCUCACAUUAAUAAUAAGGAAAAGAUAGAAAUAAAGGGACUUCAGAAUACAAAUUCUGCCUUUCUCCCAAACCGAAUUAUUUAAACUGCAUCUAUUCCCUUUUAUUGAUAUCUUAUUUCAGAUCCUAUCUACAUUUUGGCUUAAUAUAAUAGCACUAUGUAGCAGGCAAUAUUCCAAGUACUUAACAUGACUUAUCUCAUUUAAUCCUCAUAACAACCCUAUGAGGUAGAUACGAAUAGUGUCCAAUUUUACAGAUGAGGAAAAUGAGGCAUGAAGAUUUAGUAACUUGGCCGAUAUCAAACACUUACAAUAUGUAAAUGAGCAUGUACAUUGUCUUUAGUUCCUCAUGGGGCAAAUCUUACCAUUGAAAAGGCUGCAUAUUUAGCUUACAGUUUGCAGCUUGUCAAGUCGUGCCUGCUUUCUUAUGCUUUGUGGUUCUAUACCUACUCUUAAGACAUGACAUUAAAACCUUACUGAGCAGAAACAGUUUGCUGUAAGAAGCAUGGGCCAUCCAUUGUGGCUUAGUGGUAACGAACCUGACUAGUCUCAUGAGGAUUAUGCUCAGGAUCCAGCAUUGCUGUGAGCUGCGGUGUAGGUCACAGACACGGCUCGGAUCCUGCUUUGCUGUCGCCGUGGGAUAGGCCAGCAGCUGCAGCUCUGAUUCAACCCAUAGCCUGGGAAAUUCAUAUGCCGCAGGUGCAGCUCUGAAAAAAAAAGCUGCUAAGUGACUUCAGAUUCAUCCUCAGGAUGACUACCUAUCUUUAUCCCCGCAAAGUAUAUUUCCAUCUGUGACAUAGAUUCCAUUAAAUCCUGAGCAAUAUCCUUCACUGGAAACUUUUAGAAGGUGUGAUUCCUGAGAAGCAGAAGAGUAAGGCAGCCACCAGGCUGAGUGACGUCACUCAACAAUUUAUGGCCUGUGUGAUGGAGGGUGAGUUGCUGACCUCAGCUCCUGGUGUGUCCCUUUGCCCGUGAAAACCUUCCUACCUUGUAGUGCAACCAUCCCCUAGUCUGUUUCCUAAGGGGCUCCUGGAGGCCAGGAGCCAAUCUGCCAUAAGUUGGCUCUACUGUUUGUUCUUUUUCUCUGCCUGAGCACUGAAGCUGGCACAUAGUUAAGUAUUCAGUAAAUAAGUUUUUCCAGAUAUUAUGAUUCUCUGAGUUCUUUUUUUAUUUCAAAUCGAGCAAAUAGUGACGUCUGGCAGUGACUGAAGUUCAGAAUAGAUAAGAGCAGUCACAUAAUUCAGAGAAAAUACAUACCUUUAAAUGGAGGGGGAAGAUGUUUCUGUCUGAUUUUCCAUCAUGUCUGCCCACAUCGACUUUAUUCAAUAUACAGUUUUCCAGUGUCUUUUUAGACCUAGUUAUUGCAAUUUAACCCGGGGAAAAAAUCGCAGCAUGUUAUCUGAAGUUUAACAUUUAAUAUCUUAAGAUUUAAGAUUCUUAUGUUGAAUUGCCACUAACAGUUAUUUUAGGUUUCAAAGAGAUAGGCAAAUAUAUAGAACGAGAACUGAAAAGUCAGUUUUAAUAGAAUGUACAAAUACUUUCCUUACAUUUAAUAAUACAGUAAAAAGAUAAUCCAAAUUUUCUGAGACUGUUCUAGUUUUAAAUAUUUGUCUCUUACUCCCACAUGUACUUACCAGAUCACACACCAGGCUUUGCUUUAGAAAAUGUAGUUACUAUACCAACGGAUUAGUAAUAAUAAUUUUAAAGUUGUGCAGCAACUCAACAAUUGUCCUUCUUACACAAGCUUGUGUAUCUUUCCAUAUUUUAUUCUAGGUGUUGGCAAAUAUUGAAAACAUCUCAUGUGGUGGUUCUGGGAUUGUACUGAAAAUGAUGGUUUUUUAAAAUGUAACUGUGUAGCUUAUAUAGUUCAAGCUGUUUCCUGAGAAAUAGAAAUAAUCCUAGGUAAGCACUUAUGGGAAAAAUCAGAAGUCUGAUAAUUUACUCUGCCCUUUUUGCUUAAAAUAAAAACAUAGGAAGGAAUUGAACAUUUAACAUAUAUGUCACCCAUCACCAAGUUUCUGCAUUUUUGUCAAGAAAGAUUCUAUAAAUUGCAUUCUUUAUACUGAGGGGUGUGUGUGUGUGUGCGCACACGUGCACGCACAGUUCACACUUAAAGGAUAUGAAAUUCCAGCUCAGCUGACUUCUUUGCUGUCUUUGAGAAAUUGCUUAAUUUUACGUGGUUCAUUUUAAUCCGUCACAAAUGGGAUAAUGUAUGAGUCUUCAUAUAUUAUUAUGCUUCGGGAAUUAGACACAGUGUCUAGGCAGUGAUUCGGUGUUCAACCAAUAUUUAUCUGAUAAAGAUUUACUCUUCUGCCUCAAAAAUAGUCAUGGAUGCUAGUCCAGGUUUGGGGGCCCAUGACUUCCUAACCCUACACCCCUUGAUUCUCUUUGGGAUUCUUUUUAAACUCAGAGCCAAUAACCAGGCAACUGAAAAAUACGUGCUCUGGAAAGGUUGGGAGCCACAGCAGCCAUGGUGACAGUCUCAUGCCUGAGCAGGAGGGGAAGCUUGUCCGCUGCCGUCUCACUGGCCCUGCAGGAAGUGUGGCUGCCAAACAGCUUGAGAGCAAAAUGCUCGAGCUUGAGAACACCACUUCUCCUGGGUGCUCUCCUGAGGCCGUCCCGUGCUGGAAAGGCUCUGGCUUCCAAUGCAGAGCGGGGUUCCUCCGAAAAGGCACAACUUCUCACUGGCUUUGUCUUCCCUCUGAGGCGCAAGGAGGCAGGGAUGUUGGCCAAAUGACAUUAUUGCCAAACACCGACUUUCUGUUAAAUUAAAUACAACCCCUGUCCGAAACAUAAUUUUUAAUCAUGCUUUCUUUGAAGCAGUUUUAGUGUGCCCGUCUCCAUGCUCUCAGAGAAGCAGUGUUUAUACUUGUGUUUAACCAAAGCUCCCAGUGCCACAGCAAGUCACUGGCACAGGAGCUGGCCUCACUUUCCAGUCUGCAGAGUUUACCUUUGGGCCUCUUUCAGAAACAUUGGGAGAGCGGAUGGCAACUUCAGCUAAACUGAAAGUCAGAGAGUGUGGCCUUCAUCUGAAAGGAAAAAAGCCUUUUGUUGCUGAUCCCAUGAUAGCUCAGAAGCAGCACAGAGCAAGGUCUCAGUUUCACCUAAGAAAUGACACCUAAAACUUUAUAUUUGUUUUUGUUGAUGUAGAAUUAUAGUCCCUGAAAUGGGUAAGGCCAUUCCUUCUGGUAUCAUUGAUUUUAAAUGCAGGCAUCAUUCUACGAAAAAUAGCAAAUCCUGGGUUGGAAGACACCAGACUUUAGGGAAUAAUUAAUCUAAGAGAUACCAACUUAUUCUAAAUAAAACCUGGCCCCAACAUAGUUAGGUGGAUCGUUCGUAAAUAAUAGCUAAAUUUAUUGAGAUGUAUUGUGUUGAAGGUACGGUGCUAAGGAAAUGACAUGGAUUACCUGAUUGAAUCUUGAUAAGAAGUAAGAAAACUAUGAGUGUGGUAUUCCAUUUUUAGAGGAGGAAAAUGAGGUUUGGAGGUGUGACUUUGCCCAAGGUCAUGCAGCUAGCAGAUGGUAAAGACUGCCUUUAUUCAAAUUUCCCUGCUCACUGAUGCUCAAGCACCCAUCUGCCACGUCACAACAUCUCUUAGAAGCUAUGGAUUCCUCUCUCCCUCAAUACCCAGCUCAGUCAGGCCACUUGAGUCAGUAGGAGUGAUCUGUUGUUGUUGUUGCUGUUCACAGGUAUUAGAACUUCAUACUUUGGUUCUUAGUGUGCCCAGAAGAAUAAGCAAAGAAGUUGGCAAGAGUGAAACGUAUUUACUCUAAUCCAUUUUCGCAAUUCUUAAAGCUCCUUGAGAAAUUUUAAAAUAGUUAAACAUUUUAAGCUAAAUGAGGGAGAUAACUGUAAUUCUGCACACACUUUAUUUUAGGAUUGGAAUAUAUGUUCAAUUUAGUUCUAAAGUGACAUUCUACGGAAUGAAUGCUAUUUUCCCAUUGAUGCAAAUGUAAGUCUAUUUUUCACGGGAAAUUUUCCUGACCCAAAAGCUUUAAGAUGCUGGGCAUGAUCAUAUAUGACACCCUAGAAAACCGCAUAGCAGGCUUUCAUCAGGCUUCCAUGUCCGGGAUGGCCCAGGUAUCCAUCUGUAGACUGGACAUGUUCAUGUCCACCUCACACUCUUGUGUCUGAAAUCAGACAUCUUCCUCCCCAAACCUGCUCUUUCUCCAGGAUUCCCUCUUGGUCAUUGGCUCCACCUUCUACCCAGUCCUCCAAACAGAAACCUGGGGUCUUCCCUCCCCCUCUGUUCUCCCUUAGUCCCCACAUCCAAUUGGUGGCCAGACUUUGCCUCUUCUUCCUCGGGAGACUCAUCCCUCCUGCCCACCCUUCGCAGCUCAUCUCUCCUUAUUGCUCACCUGGAUCAGUGCCGCAUUUUCCCUCCUCGUCGGCGUUAGGCUUCUUCUCUGGGAGGUUUUUCUUGCCUCCAUGAACCCCUCAGGGACUGGCUCAGUGUCCUGUAAAGUCACUCUUGUGCCUCUAUCGUAACACUCAUCCUGAGUCCCCUCACUGCCCAUUUACUUUUGCAACUUGCUCCAGUGCCCUGUAAGCUUCUUGAGGGUGGAGACUAUGUCUUAUUUAUGAAUAGCCGGCUCCUGACAUUUGGUCAUGACCCAUAAAUAUCUGUUGGGUAAGUGGAGGAGACUUUACAGGUGGCCCCCUGUCUUCAGCGUUCUGGGGGGAAUCUUGUCAGGAUCGGUGUGGAAUUACGUAGCUUAUCUGCUUGGGGCGUGGGGGUAGGCUCGCCAGGAGUUACAUUUUCUUUUCCCUUUAUAUCUCUUCUAUGAUGAUGAACAAGAACACAGCAAAAUCAGUGGCAUUUAGGACAAUGUUAUAAAUACUGUAGGCCAGAAAUAAGAGCUUGUUAAAUUACAAUGAACAGGUCAAACAGGUUCAAAUCUAAGGAUUCACUUUUCAUCUGAUCUCUACAUUACUGAAAACCAGUAUAUAAUACACUACCUUGCCACAGCAGCUAUUACAAAAUUAACCAUAAAAGCAAAGGUGGGAGUUCCUGCCGUGGCUCAGGGGUUAAUGAACCCAACUAGCAUCCAUGAGGACACAGGUUUGAUCCCUGGCCUCGUUCAGCGGGUUAAGGAUCCAGUGUGGCUGUGGUGUAGGCUGGUGGCUGCAGGUCCAAUUGGACCCCUAGCUUGGGAACUUCCAUAUGUCUCAGGUGCAGCCCUAAAAAGACAAAAAGACCAAAAAAAAAAAAAAAA
ensembl:lncRNA